GCCAGGUGCAGUGGUGCAUGCCUGUAGUCCCAGCUUCUCGGGAGGCUGAGGUGGGAGGAUUACUUGAGCCCAGGAGUUCUGGGCUGUAGUGCGCUAUGCCGAUUGGGUGUCGGCACUGAGUUCAGCAUCAAUAUGGUGACCCCUCGGGAGUAGGGGACCACCAGGUUGCCUAAGGAGAGGUGAACAGGCCCAGGUUGGAAAAGGAGCAGGUCAAAACUCCUGUGCUGAUUAGUAGUGGGAUCGAGCCUGUGAAUAGCCACUGCCCUCCAGCCUGGGCAACAUAGUGAGACCCUGUCUCU
rnacentral:SRP_RNA from 1 species